AAAUGCAGGCUAUCACUACAGUAAUGUCUGCAGUACGUUUUGUUGGGGUCAAGAAAUUCAAAGAUAGGGCUUGCCCAGGCACUCUAAACGGACACUAUGAGACUUGAUAAUCGAUCAAGCAUCCUUCAACACUUUUGUUCAGGGCGGGUAACCAGGUGCGGACUGCGGAUUAAGCUCAAUGGAACCUCUAUCACUUGAGAAUUGGCGACAUCCAAGCUCAACAACACCUACGCACUUUUGGUUUGGUUGGACCUAAACCGUCCUGAGGACUGCGCGGAGUGUCGAGAAUGACUUCCCCAACUGAAUGACUAACUAUCUCAUUUGUGAGGAUCGUCAGAGAUAAAGGAGGCCAUGGCUGGUUGGGACUUUGAAUGGUGCUUAAAUUGGUCUGAUUGCUCUGACUCAUGACCCAUUAAGGUUUUUUCUCUCUUUCUCAGGCUCCCUAAACAUAUGGUGACAAAAUUUGAAAUGGGCCCUUGAUGGACAAUUCUGAUCAAGCCAAGGCUUGAGAGUCGUUUCCAACCACGACGAAUUCACAACGGUCCCCAAACGGCUCUUGGAGACACUCCCUUGUUCUCAAAGCUGUUUUUUCUGUCCAAUUCAAAAAUGCCUUCAAUCAAACUGAGGCGCCCAAAGAAUACGAAUGCCAAUCUUUCAAAUGGUCAGCCAAGGUGACAAAAAGUGUCUUGGUGAUAUCAAUGACCGACUUUGUGCUUGUCGUCUAAUCUCAAUGUGAUGACUAAUGGCUUCAUCCAUGGAUAUCUGGUAUGGUCUAAUAGCCUAUCAUUGAUUUAUAGGCUGCUACUCUCUCCGUUCACUCAUCCCACACACGAAUUCCCGUCGAGUCCGAGAAUGGCAUGGAUGCAAACGAGCUUAAAGAUUCCAUUAACAAGGCCCUACUCCGUUCAAUGGUUUUGAUAUUACAAGCCCAAUUGAUUCAUUGCCAAAUUUUGGGGGUCCCAAUAAAACAAGGUUUUCAUCAAA